rnacentral:misc_RNA from 1 species
GUGAAUCAUCAAAUUUUUGAACGCAAAUUGCACUCUCCUCGGAGAGUAUGCCUGUUUGAGGGUCAGCCUAAAAAAAAUCGACAUCGUUGCUGUUCCGCGGUGACGUUCGUCGGAAAUUGGGUUAUCCUAAACCUUUUGGUUUAGGGGCUUAAAAAUUUUCUUUUUGUUUCAUUAAAGGUUUUUAGAAUUAAUUUUUUACAAGGUUUAGGGUAUGGUUUUUUUUUA